rnacentral:misc_RNA from 1 species
UCAUCAGUAUUUCCCAGCCUUGAUCAGGACUGUUUUUAUUCAGUCUUCCUUUUCAACUUCGCUGAAGUGGGGUUAACGAAAGCAAUACCUUAGUGAUUGUUAGUACCGGCUACCCAGACGGUCAGAAGCAAGAAAUUAUCCUAAGUUAUCCGGUUUCAAAAGCGCACAGCAUAUCCCAUACAACACUCUUUGCUAGCACAACAGAACUAAGACAAACAGGAUCAAUAUGGCAUUGGAUACGCUCAGCAGUUUUAUGAUACUGGUCUGUGCUGUCGCCCUGGUUAUUUUGGUCUCGUUGACUGUUUACACGUGGUAUAAGUGGCAUAUGAAAGAGGUACAACAAGCGGCGACUCCUUACCAGGCCGCCAGCGCCGAGCUCGCCAUUGAAAUGACGUCACACACACCUCACCAUCCGCAGUCGCAUUUUCAGAGGGGCUAUUUAAACACAGUGGGGAGGGACAGUCCAAACCUGAGUGGCUCACGGACCUUCCUGAGCGAUGAGGUGUUGAAGCAAAAGCCAAACCUACCCCCGCCUGCGUUUGAGAGCAAAGACGUUGUCUUCCACGCCAACGCAGAGCGUAAUCCUGACGAGCUAAAAUCCAGCGACGUAGUUUUCCACGCGAACGGACCAUUCGCCGAUAACACAACGACCAAUGGGACUCAAGCUGGUCAAGUGGUAUACAAUGGCGAGGGCACGAGCGGGAAACGAAGAUGGACCGAGUCCACGGUCCCAGCGGAAGACGAAGAUGAAAACGAUGUCUCGCAUAGAAAAAACACGUAUCUGUGAAAGAAUAUAGACUGCAAUUCGUUGAGUGUAGUUUUGGCCGCAUAUAUCGUCCCUCAUUUAUAUAAAUUUUAUAGCUUUGACCCUAAAAGGCUAAGUCUUUUAGACUUGGAAGCCUAACAUAUUUUUUGCAUCGCGAAUGUUUAACUGAGAUCCGAAAGUAAGGGAAAUUUAAAACCUCCAUUUAUGCGUUCAAAUGUAGUUUUGUCUUACUCAUCGUUUGUACCUUAGACUUGGUAGUAGCCUUGCCUAAUUUACAAGAUGUUUCACAUAAUGGCACGCCAGUAGGGUGAAUAGAAAAGACUUCUAAGUUAAACUAAACUCUUGAUUGUCUAAAAAAAAGUUAAUUUCUCAACGCUUUUCCUUUUCUUAGAUAAAAUCAAAUGAAUUCAACUUAUGCUUUGCGUUACGUGCCAGAUUGAGGAGACUAAAACGUACAAGUCGCUAAUAUUAAAAAAAUCGUAAGAAAUUUCUUCUCACGUUUGUGUUGAAUCAAAGAUCUCGGAUUCUUAAUGUCGAGGAGAAUGAAAAUCUUAUUGUACUUUGCGAUAUUACCAUCUGCGUUGCCUUUACAUGUAAGUACUUGAUGUUUUUAGGCCAGACGCCACCUUAAAAAUUAGCUAUCCUGAAUUCUAGACUUAUAUUGCCAACAAGAUAGGUGAGCCCAAAUGCGAGUGUACGGUCAAACGUUCCUCAUUUUCUAUUUUAUGUUUCUUAUUGCAACGAGAGUAUUUGUAGAGAAGAAUUCUUUAUGUUUCAAAUGGUAGCGGUAAUCCUUAUAUAACGAGGGGCAUAUCAAACUACAAAAGGUAAAUAGCAUUUAUAAUUCGCCUCAUUGGCACUUGCCGGAAGGUAGAAGUAGGUUUAUUUGUCAUAAUGUAUCUUUCUUGUACAUAGGGGUAUUUUCAUAAGCGCGUGUUAGAUAAGGAUGUGAUAACCAACACAUCAUGGUUGAGUUUUGUAAAUUGUGGGAAUGCACGCAUACUAAAAUGAUCUAAAAUAUAUUCCACAGUUGUUUUUAACCCACCUUUUUUGAUGAUGUCUUUUGUAUUGAAAAAUGAAAUAAAGUAUCAGAGAAUUAUAAUA